UACGUAGGGGGCAAGCGUUGUCCGGAAUCAUUGGGCGUAAAGAGCGUGUAGGCGGCCCGAUAAGUCCGCUGUGAAAGUCCAGGGCUCAACCCUGGAAUGCCAGUGGAAACUGUCGGGCUAGAGUCCGGAAGAGGCGAGUGGAAUUCCUGGUGUAGCGGUGAAAUGCGCAGAUAUCAGGAGGAACACCAAUGGCGAAGGCAGCUCGCUGGGACGGUACUGACGCUGAGACGCGAAAGCGUGGGGAGCAAACGGG
rnacentral:rRNA from 1 species